AGGUUGCUGGGAUGCAGUACAAGCUGUGGACAUGGAGACCAGGAGCCCAACCCUGAGCAGAGUGCAGGAAGCUGCGGAAUGUACCAUAGCUCUCCACAGACCCAGGAGCCAUGUGGGGCCUAAAAUACCUCAACCGGGCUCAUCAGCAGCUUGGCCUCAUGGCCCUGGACAUACGCUCGAGGGAUCCACAGGAGGAAACUGCACAAACACAACAUGGCGCAUUUGAGUAGCUGCAUCCCCAGAAAGACCUGGUGAACACAGUGACAUACAUCAUGGAACUGGAAUUUCUUUCACUCUGGAGGAGGUAAAGGAGUUGUAAACAAUCCUUUAAGGACGCGUGGUUAUGACUCCCUAUUUGUAUUAGUGCUCUCUUUCUCCUUAAAGUACAUGCAAAGUAACGAUGUGGC
rnacentral:lncRNA from 1 species